rnacentral:tRNA from 1 species
UCUAAUGNGGCAGACUAGUGCAAUGA